rnacentral:rRNA from 1 species
UGGGGAAUCUUGGACAAUGGGCGCAAGCCUGAUCCAGCCAUGCCGCGUGAGUGACGAAGGCCUUAGGGUUGUAAAGCUCUUUUUGCCGGGGACGAUAAUGACGGUACCCGGAGAAUAAGUCCCGGCUAACUUCGUGCCAGCAGCCGCGGUAAUACGAAGGGGACUAGCGUUGUUCGGAAUUACUGGGCGUAAAGCGCACGUAGGCGGAUUUGUCAGUCAGGGGUGAAAUCCCGGGGCUCAACCUCGGAACUGCCUUUGAUACAGCAAGUCUUGAGUCCGAUAGAGGUGGGUGGAAUUCCUAGUGUAGAGGUGAAAUUCGUAGAUAUUAGGAGGAACACCGGUGGCGAAGGCGGCCCACUGGAUCGGUACUGACGCUGAGGUGCGAAAGCGUGGGGAGCAAACAGGAUUAGAUACCCGCGUAGUCCCUGAGCGGGCUGGCAAGGCGCAU